AUACUUACCUGGACGGGGUCAAUGGGUGAUCAAGAAGGCUCAUGGCCUAGAUUGGCGACCUCCAUUGCACCUAGGAGGGGCGCCCGUCUAAGGUCGGCCCAAGUGGUCGAGCCUACGUCAUAAUUUGUGGUAGAGGGGGCCUGCGUUCGCGCGGCCCCUGC
rnacentral:snRNA from 1 species